CUCUUUUCUCCACAUCCUUAAAUAAUCUAAUUUGGUUUUUGUCAAGUAGAAGACGACGACCACGAGAAACAGAUCUUUGAUCGGCAGAGGAAGAGUGACAGGAGGUAGGGUUUCAGCACGAGAGAGAAAGAGAGAGAGAAGAAGAUGACAGAGCCACGACCCAUAAGUG